rnacentral:rRNA from 1 species
GGUUAAGCGACUAAGCGUACACGGUGGAUGCCCUGGCAGUCAGAGGCGAUGAAGGACGUGCUAAUCUGCGAUAAGCGUCGGUAAGGUGAUAUGAACCGUUAUAACCGGCGAUUUCCGAAUGGGGAAACCCAGUGUGUUUCGACACACUAUCAUUAACUGAAUCCAUAGGUUAAUGAGGCGAACCGGGGGAACUGAAACAUCUAAGUACCCCGAGGAAAAGAAAUCAACCGAGAUUCCCCCAGUAGCGGCGAGCGAACGGGGAGCAGCCCAGAGCCUGAAUCAGUAUGUGUGUUAGUGGAAGCGUCUGGAAAGGCGCGCGAUACAGGGUGACAGCCCCGUACACAAAAAUGCACAUGCUGUGAGCUCGAUGAGUAGGGCGGGACACGUGGUAUCCUGUCUGAAUAUGGGGGGACCAUCCUCCAAGGCUAAAUACUCCUGACUGACCGAUAGUGAACCAGUACCGUGAGGGAAAGGCGAAAAGAACCCCGGCGAGGGGAGUGAAAAAGAACCUGAAACCGUGUACGUACAAGCAGUGGGAGCACGCUUAGGCGUGUGACUGCGUACCUUUUGUAUAAUGGGUCAGCGACUUAUAUUCUGUAGCAAGGUUAACCGAAUAGGGGAGCCGAAGGGAAACCGAGUCUUAACUGGGCGUUAAGUUGCAGGGUAUAGACCCGAAACCCGGUGAUCUAGCCAUGGGCAGGUUGAAGGUUGGGUAACACUAACUGGAGGACCGAACCGACUAAUGUUGAAAAAUUAGCGGAUGACUUGUGGCUGGGGGUGAAAGGCCAAUCAAACCGGGAGAUAGCUGGUUCUCCCCGAAAGCUAUUUAGGUAGCGCCUCGUGAAUUCAUCUCCGGGGGUAGAGCACUGUUUCGGCAAGGGGGUCAUCCCGACUUACCAACCCGAUGCAAACUGCGAAUACCGGAGAAUGUUAUCACGGGAGACACACGGCGGGUGCUAACGUCCGUCGUGAAGAGGGAAACAACCCAGACCGCCAGCUAAGGUCCCAAAGUCAUGGUUAAGUGGGAAACGAUGUGGGAAGGCCCAGACAGCCAGGAUGUUGGCUUAGAAGCAGCCAUCAUUUAAAGAAAGCGUAAUAGCUCACUGGUCGAGUCGGCCUGCGCGGAAGAUGUAACGGGGCUAAACCAUGCACCGAAGCUGCGGCAGCGACGCUGAUGCGUUGUUGGGUAGGGGAGCGUUCUGUAAGCCUGCGAAGGUGUGCUGUGAGGCAUGCUGGAGGUAUCAGAAGUGCGAAUGCUGACAUAAGUAACGAUAAAGCGGGUGAAAAGCCCGCUCGCCGGAAGACCAAGGGUUCCUGUCCAACGUUAAUCGGGGCAGGGUGAGUCGACCCCUAAGGCGAGGCCGAAAGGCGUAGUCGAUGGGAAACAGGUUAAUAUUCCUGUACUUGGUGUUACUGCGAAGGGGGGACGGAGAAGGCUAUGUUGGCCGGGCGACGGUUGUCCCGGUUUAAGCGUGUAGGCUGGUUUUCCAGGCAAAUCCGGAAAAUCAAGGCUGAGGCGUGAUGACGAGGCACU